rnacentral:rRNA from 1 species
GACGAACGCUGGCGGCGUGCUUAACACAUGCAAGUCGAACGAAGAGCGACGGAAGCUUGCUUCUAUCAAUCUUAGUGGCGAACGGGUGAGUAACGCGUAAUCAACCUGCCCUUCAGAGGGGGACAACAGUUGGAAACGACUGCUAAUACCGCAUACGAUCUAAUCUCGGCAUCGAGGAUAGAUGAAAGGUGGCCUCUACAUGUAAGCUAUCACUGAAGGAGGGGAUUGCGUCUGAUUAGCUAGUUGGAGGGGUAACGGCCCACCAAGGCGAUGAUCAGUAGCCGGUCUGAGAGGAUGAACGGCCACAUUGGGACUGAGACACGGCCCAGACUCCUACGGGAGGCAGCAGUGGGGAAUCUUCCGCAAUGGACGAAAGUCUGACGGAGCAACGCCGCGUGAGUGAUGACGGCCUUCGGGUUGUAAAGCUCUGUUAAUCGGGACGAAAGGCCUUCUUGCGAAUAGUGAGAAGGA